CUUGCUCCUUCGACGUUAGCGGCGGACGGGUGAGUAACACGUGGGCAACCUACCUUAUAGUUUGGGAUAACUCCGGGAAACCGGGGCUAAUACCGAAUAAUCUGUUUCAUCUCAUGGUGAAACACUGAAAGACGGUUUCGGCUGUCGCUAUAGGAUGGGCCCGCGGCGCAUUAGCUAGUUGGUGAGGUAACGGCUCACCAAGGCGACGAUGCGUAGCCGACCUGAGAGGGUGAUCGGCCACACUGGGACUGAGACACGGCCCAGACUCCUACGGGAGGCAGCAGUAGGGAAUCUUCCACAAUGGGCGAAAGCCUGAUGGAGCAACGCCGCGUGAGUGAAGAAGGAUUUCGGUUCGUAAAACUCUGUUGUAAGGGAAGAACAAGUACAGUAGUAACUGGCUGUACCUUGACGGUACCUUAUUAGAAAGCCACGGCUAACUACGUGCCAGCAGCCGCGGUAAUACGUAGGUGGCAAGCGUUGUCCGGGAAUUAUUGGGCGUAAAGCGCGCGCAGGUGGUUUCUUAAGUCUGAUGUGAAAGCCCACGGCUCAACCGUGGAGGGUCAUUGGNAACUGGGAGACUUGAGUGCAGAAGAGGAUAGUGGAAUUCCAAGUGUAGCGGUGAAAUGCGUANAGAUUUGGAGGAACACCAGUGGCGAAGGCGACUAUCUGGUCUGUAACUGACACUGAGGCGCCGAAAGCGUGGGGAG
rnacentral:rRNA from 1 species